rnacentral:rRNA from 1 species
UACGUAGGGUGCAAGCGUUGUCCGGAAUUAUUGGGCGUAAAGAGCUCGUAGGCGGUUUGUCGCGUCUGCUGUGAAAACCUAGGGCUCAACCUUGGGCUUGCAGUGGGUACGGGCAGACUAGAGUGCGGUAGGGGUGACUGGAAUUCCUGGUGUAGCGGUGGAAUGCGCAGAUAUCAGGAGGAACACCGAUGGCGAAGGCAGGUCACUGGGCCGCAACUGACGCU